rnacentral:rRNA from 1 species
UACGUAGGGUGCAGGCGUUAAUCGGAAUUACUGGGCGUAAAGCGUGCGCAGGCGGCUUCCUAAGUCAGAUGUGAAAUCCCCGGGCUCAACCUGGGAACUGCAUUUGUGACUGUAGAGCUGGAGUGCGGCAGAGGGGGAUGGAAUCCGCGUGUAGCAGUGAAAUGCGUAGAUAUGCGGAGGAACACCGAUGGCGAAGGCAAUCCCCUGGGCCUGCACUGACGCUCAUGCACGAAAGCGUGGGGAGCAAACAGG